UCGUUCCAAAUUGCAUAAUUUUAUUCACUCAAUUGAUUUUGUUUUGUCAAAAUUUGAUCAAAAUGAAACUGAUAUUUUUCCUUUUCUUGUAAAAAGCUGUUUGGAAGGUUUAGAAUUUAUUGGGUCAAAGGAAUUUAACUUUUGGCAAAAUGUUAACGAGCAACCCCAUGGCCAUCUUCUCAGGAGGGAGGUGUUAGGUCAUGCGACCACCAGCGAAGCCGGAUCACAGUUCCGAAAAUCGGUAUCUCGCGCUCUUAAAAUUGUUAUAUGCAGCAGUUUUGGUAUAUUUGUAAAUUAAGCUUAAUAUAGUUUUUAGAAUUGAUUGUACCGCCGCAGAGUAAAGUUUCGUUUGUUUUUCA